CUUGGACCAUGUAUGUGGAAGCUGAAAACAAAGUUAGAAUGCUGAUGCAUGCUUCAAAGGACUCGACGGUGUUCCAGAUGUGGUGGAAUGCUCAUUCGUCCAGUCUAGCAUCAUCAAGUUUCCUUUCUUCACCUCAAAGGUAAGACUGGGAAAAAACGGAGCGGAGGAAGUGCUAGAUCUUGGGCCACUCUCAGACUGUGAAAAAGAAAGGCUUAGAGAAGCCCUCAACUCAAAUCCUCCAUCACCAUGGGAAUCUAAAUUUCCCAACCAAUGAGUUCUUGCUCUUUAGAUUGUGGAUUUUGGACUUAACUUUAGGUUAAUCAUGUUGUCUUUCCAAUUUUAGGUAGAUCGAGUUGUCUUCGAUCUUCUUCUUCUGCUCUUUAGGAGCCACUGGGAAAACUGUGGUAGUAAGUUUUGUUUUUUAAACCACUGUUGCUAUGGUCUAUGGAAGGUAUGAUUCUUCUUGACCCUUUGAGGAAUGAAACGUGGUGCUCUUUAUUAUUA